rnacentral:rRNA from 1 species
CGCGUAGGCGGCUUGUUAAGUCUGGUGUGAAAGCCCGAGGCUCAACCUCGGUAAGCACUGGAAACUGGCAAGCUUGAGUACUGGAGAGGGUCGUGGAAUUCCCAGUGUAGCAGUGAAAUGCGUAGAGAUUGGGAGGAACACCAGUGGCGAAGGCGGCGACCUGGACAGAUACUGACGCUGAGGCGCGAAAGCUGGGGGAGCAAACGGGAUUAGAUACCCCGGUAGUCCCAGCCGUAAACGAUGGAUACUAGGUGUAGGAGGUAUCGACCCCUUCUGUGCCGCAGCUAACGCAAUAAGUAUCCCGCCUGGGGAGUACGGCCGCAAGGUUGAAA